GUCUACGGCCAUACCACCCUGAACGCGCCCGAUCUCGUCUGAUCUCCGAAGCUAAGCAGGGUCGGGCCUGGUUAAUACUUGGAUGCGAGAACUAGGACUUCUACAUU
rnacentral:rRNA from 1 species